rnacentral:lncRNA from 1 species
UAAUAUCUAAAUUACGAAAUUACUUUUACAACAUUUUCAUUUCAUACCACCGCACCCAGGACCAAAAAAAAAGUUACCAACCACUUAGAAAAUGCAGCCAGUAUUCCAGUGGGCGUUUGUACUGUAAUGUCCGUAUCUAUUCGAGAGUCCAGAAGGUUCUUUCUCGAGAAGAAAAAGAGGGUCGGGAAGGCGGCGAAGAGAGCGAGAGCAGGGUCCCUCUUCUUCGGAGCGGGCCCUGCUCCGCUUAGCGGCGGGGGUGAGGGUCAUUGUUCCGGCGAUUUCCGUUUCCCAGCUGCUUCAGGUUUUUCCUUCUCUAUCAUAUUUCUGUUCUCCGAUGGCCUCGUAAUGCAAUGUCGCAAAUGCAUUUUCGCGAUCGGCUAUUGAGCGUGUGAAUGAAUGUAUUGCUCGAUACUUUCAUUUCUCUCAUCGGAUAGUUCACGACCACUGUGCUAGAGAGGGGCCUUCUUCCCCUUUUUGAAGCUCUGAUGUCGAUAGGUUCUAAUCUCUGAUUGAGAUUAAGUAAAUUCCUCCGGUCUCGUGAUUGUGAUGAAUUGCUCUAGGGCUUUUGAUAUUGUUCGCGAGCUGCCAUUUCUUUUUCUUUUGUAACCCUGAUUCUAUUUUAGGGUCUUUUUGCCGUGUGUCGGAAUGGAAUUUGUCUCUGCCUGUCUCCAUUGGGAAAUUACCAGAGCUGCAUCCGGAAGUAGCUGUUUGGUAGUGUAAAUUAGCAAGAAGGUACAACUAUGGAGUAUAGUGCCAAUAUGCAGCAAUAAUCUUCUUUGGGUAUCUGGUUCAGUUCCUUUUUCAUUUUUUUGCUUGAUUGAUCCACUGAUGAAAUAGAAAUACUCUUCUGGCUGUCAUUUUGCUUCACUUGGUCACAGUCUGAUGCUGACAUACGUACAACCCACGAAUGGAAUGGGGAUUUCUGUCUGUCAAAUUUGUAGAAUUGCUUAAAAAGGCCUGGUUAUUUCGAGUCUAGAAGACAAACGUUCUGAUACUCCUGACCCAUCUUGUAAACAAGGAAUUGUGUCUUUUGCCUUUCAGGGAGAUUAUCCAUAUUGUUAUUAGUGCUCGGGUUGAUUUUGACUGGUUGCCGUAGAACAUUUUACAUCAUAACAGUCAACCUGAAAUGCUGCUGUAACCAAGUUCUUCUGUUCCAAGAACUCUGAAUUCCGUUGGCUCCCAAGUCAUCUAACUCGCCCAACUGUUAUUUGUUGCUAAUAUGGUUGUUUUAUGGCUAGGAACAUUACUUUGGAGUCUGUAUGUUGGCUAUAUAUAUGGUAGAUCCUCACUACUAUUGGCUGAAUCAACAUAGGCGUCCACCUUCUCUCCCUUAUUUUAAUGAUUGAUGAUGAGACAUUUCUGAAACUUCAAUUUCAGCAACUUGUUUCCUUGCUGUUUGGUGUCCUGCAGAUUGGAAGUAUAAAACUAUUUGACAACAGAUGGUCACACAAAGACCUCGAGUACAUAUCGCUCGUUUUGACAACUUAGUUCAAAAGUUUGCAAGGAGGGAAGUUGCUGGAGGCAGUGAUGCAUAAGGUGUUCGAGCAUGGCGUGUGCUCUCACCAUGCGACCCAAUUGAUCAACCACAUUUACCUCUCCCGCAACAAAAUGCCAGAGUGCCCCGCAAUGCCCUUGGAGAGAACCAGGAGUGAGUUUAUCUAUCAAAAGGUUCACUUCAGGGUCAUAGAGGGACGAAAUGGCUUGAGGCAGACAGGGAAUUCCAGGCAUUAGUUUAGCUUGGAAGGUUGCUUUUCUAGGUCCAGUUCCUUUUAGGACCUAUUUCACAUACGGAUAAUGAUAAUUGAUAUAGAACCUUCUCCUGAACUCGUCCUACUGCUAAUUUUGCGGCUGUUUUCUUUUCCCAGUUUCUUGUUUGAGUAAAUGGGUUUACUAUUGCUUUGUUGAACCAUUCAAUACGGUUCGGUUUUGGAAACAGCUAGUGUCAUCUUCCCCUCACGGCGUAUUAAGCUAACUACACAGAGGAAUGUACUCUUUAAGGUAUCCUCUCUUCGAAGCUAUAGUAAAUCAUCACAACUUUCAGCUGUGACCCGGUGAUGGAAGACAUAUCCAACUUAAUACAAUAAGUAAAAUAAUUUAUCGGUA